UUUAAAUUGAGAGUUUGAUCCUGGCGCAGGACGAACGCUGGCGGCGUGCCUAACACAUGCAAGUCGAGCGAUGAAGCUUCCUUCGGGAAGUGGAUUAGCGGCGGACGGG
rnacentral:rRNA from 2 species